rnacentral:rRNA from 1 species
UACAGAGGUCUCAAGCGUUGUUCGGAUUCAUUGGGCGUAAAGGGUGCGUAGGCGGCGGCGUAAGUCGAGUGUGAAAUCUCGGGGCUCAACCCCGAAAUUGCACUCGAUACUGCGUCGCUAGAGGACUGUAGAGGAGAUCGGAAUUCACGGUGUAGCAGUGAAAUGCGUAGAUAUCGUGAGGAAGACCAGUUGCGAAAGCGGAUCUCUGGGCAGUUCCUGACGCUGAGGCACGAAGGCUAGGGGAGCAAACGGG